rnacentral:rRNA from 1 species
UACGGGGGGGGCAAGCGUUGUUCGGAAUUACUGGGCGUAAAGGGCUUGUAGGUGGCCAACUAAGUCAGACGUGAAAUCCCUCGGCUUAACCGGGGAACUGCGUCUGAUACUGGAUGGCUUGAGUUCGGGAGAGGGAUGCGGAAUUCCAGGUGUAGCGGUGAAAUGCGUAGAUAUCGGGAGGAACACCGGUGGCGAAGGCGGCGACUUGGGUAGAUACUGACGCUGAGGCGCGAAAGCGUGGGGAGCAAACAGG